rnacentral:lncRNA from 10 species
CAAUAGAAGCGUCUCUGAGGCAGCUCAUGCUCUAGGUCUGGAAGCCAGGGAGGACAUGUGGGGAGCCAGCUGUGGGCAAAUGACAGCCACCAGGAGAGUGCAGCCCAGGGAGGGGAGGACAGACAGGUGAGGGGGCUCAGGGAGGAGAGGACAGACAGGUGAGGGGACACUGUCCAGGUCAGGGUGCAGGCCCCACGUUGCAGGCCUCCUGCCCAGAACCCUGCCCUCAUUCCACUCCUCCAGGGCUGGGAGCCUGACCCUGAGUCGGCUUCACCCCCAUCACCUUGACCCCUGACCCAGCGUUCUCUGGGUCCCUCCUGACCCUUCUGGCUGAGGCCCCUGCCCAGGGCUGCGCUCCUCCCAACAGCUCCUUCACAGAGUUGUGGGUCUCAGAAUGAUCCUCAUUGUAUACACAGGGCCAGGGCCUCUUUUUGUCUUUUUGCAUAAUUCCUCCUGCAGGGGCCCCACCCCAGCAGGGCCUCAGCCCAAGGCUCCAGUGGCUGAGCGGCCCCCUUCCAGCUUCCCUGGUCAGGAAACACCCCCUCUUGCGGCUGCCCAGAGACAAAGGGUCCCCUGGGUGUGGCACUUGCUGUCAGGCAUAUUCUAAGCCCCAGGCAAGCAUCCUGAAUGUGUGGCCAGUGGUUGGUGACAAAGGCUCAAGAUAAGGGUUCACGCCCUGAACAAAAAAUGUCCCAGGCCACCUGCAGCCCAUGAGGGGCCUACCAAGAGAGGCCCUGGCACCUUGGUCCAGCCAGGGGCUGUGCAGAAGCUGCUGGAACCCCCUUGCUCUGUCGCUGGUGGCUGGUGCAGAGACUGG